UUAACAUUAAUACCUUGGGAAGUCAGUAGUGCCAGGCUAUGUCCAAGUGUCAUGGGGGAGCCUAGGGCUCUGCCCUGUGGUAUACAAUCCCUUUCCACAAGGUUGGAGAAGAAGCUGAGCUCUGAGCCUGUGUCUGCUGCAUAUUACUACAACUUCUCAGAGCUGUGUACACAGUGGCUGAGAAAAAAACCAUUCAGGAAACAAUG
ensembl:snoRNA SNORA73 Small nucleolar RNA SNORA73 family